rnacentral:rRNA from 1 species
GGUUAAGCGACUAAGCGUACACGGUGGAUGCCCUGGCAGUCAGAGGCGAUGAAGGGCGUGCUAAUCUGCGAUAAGCGCCGGUAAGGUGAUAUGAACCGUUAUAACCGGCGAUACCCGAAUGGGGAAACCCAGUGUGACUCGUCACACUAUCAUUAACUGAAUCCAUAGGUUAAUGAGGCGAACCGGGGGAACUGAAACAUCUAAGUACCCCGAGGAAAAGAAAUCAACCGAGAUUCCCCCAGUAGCGGCGAGCGAACGGGGAGGAGCCCAGAGCCUGAAUCAGCAUGUGUGUUAGUGGAAGCGUCUGGAAAGGCGCGCGAUACAGGGUGACAGCCCCGUACACAAAAGCGCAUGUGCUGUGAGCUCGAUGAGUAGGGCGGGACACGUGGUAUCCUGUCUGAAUAUGGGGGGACCAUCCUCCAAGGCUAAAUACUCCUGACUGACCGAUAGUGAACCAGUACCGUGAGGGAAAGGCGAAAAGAACCCCGGCGAGGGGAGUGAAAAAGAACCUGAAACCGUGUACGUACAAGCAGUGGGAGCACCCUUUGGGGUGUGACUGCGUACCUUUUGUAUAAUGGGUCAGCGACUUAUAUUCUGUAGCAAGGUUAACCGAAUAGGGGAGCCGGAGGGAAACCGAGUCUUAAUUGGGCGUUAAGUUGCAGGGUAUAGACCCGAAACCCGGUGAUCUAGCCAUGGGCAGGUUGAAGGUUGGGUAACACUAACUGGAGGACCGAACCGACUAAUGUUGAAAAAUUAGCGGAUGACCUGUGGCUGGGGGUGAAAGGCCAAUCAAACCGGGAGAUAGCUGGUUCUCCCCGAAAGCUAUUUAGGUAGCGCCUCGUGAAUUCAUCUCCGGGGGUAGAGCACUGUUUCGGCUAGGGGGCCAUCCCGGCUUACCAACCCGAUGCAAACUGCGAAUACCGGAGAAUGUUAUCACGGGAGACACACGGCGGGUGCUAACGUCCGUCGUGAAGAGGGAAACAACCCAGACCGCCAGCUAAGGUCCCAAAGUCAUGGUUAAGUGGGAAACGAUGUGGGAAGGCCCAGACAGCCAGGAUGUUGGCUUAGAAGCAGCCAUCAUUUAAAGAAAGCGUAAUAGCUCACUGGUCGAGUCGGCCUGCGCGGAAGAUGUAACGGGGCUAAACCAUGCACCGAAGCUGCGGCAGCGAACGUAUCACUUAAAGCGAUUCAGCGGGUUACGAUUGACGGAGCGAAGCGACGUCAAAGCGUAUACAAAGUCGAGUCGGUUUAAGGAUACGUUCGUUGGGUAGGGGAGCGUUCUGUAAGCCUGUGAAGGUGGCCUGUGAGGGUUGCUGGAGGUAUCAGAAGUGCGAAUGCUGACAUAAGUAACGAUAAAGCGGGUGAAAAGCCCGCUCGCCGGAAGACCAAGGGUUCCUGUCCAACGUUAAUCGGGGCAGGGUGAGUCGACCCCUAAGGCGAGGCCGAAAGGCGUAGUCGAUGGGAAACAGGUUAAUAUUCCCGUACUUGGUGUUACUGCGAAGGGGGGACGGAGAAGGCUAUGUUGGCCGGGCGACGGUUGUCCCGGUUUAAGCGUGUAGGUGUGUGUUCCAGGUAAAUCCGGUUCACUUUAACACUGAGGCGUGAUGACGAGGCACUACGGUGCUGAAGCAACAAAUGCCCUGCUUCCAGGAAAAGCCUCUAAGCAUCAGGUAACAUCAAAUCGUACCCCAAACCGACACAGGUGGUCAGGUAGAGAAUACCAAGGCGCUUGAGAGAACUCGGGUGAAGGAACUAGGCAAAAUGGUGCCGUAACUUCGGGAGAAGGCACGCUGACACGUAGGUGAAGUGAUUUACUCAUGGAGCUGAAGUCAGUCGAAGAUACCAGCUGGCUGCAACUGUUUAUUAAAAACACAGCACUGUGCAAACACGAAAGUGGACGUAUACGGUGUGACGCCUGCCCGGUGCCGGAAGGUUAAUUGAUGGGGUCAGCGCAAGCGAAGCUCCUGAUCGAAGCCCCGGUAAACGGCGGCCGUAACUAUAACGGUCCUAAGGUAGCGAAAUUCCUUGUCGGGUAAGUUCCGACCUGCACGAAUGGCGUAAUGAUGGCCAGGCUGUCUCCACCCGAGACUCAGUGAAAUUGAACUCGCUGUGAAGAUGCAGUGUACCCGCGGCAAGACGGAAAGACCCCGUGAACCUUUACUAUAGCUUGACACUGAACAUUGAGCCUUGAUGUGUAGGAUAGGUGGGAGGCUUUGAAGUGUGGACGCCAGUCUGCAUGGAGCCGACCUUGAAAUACCACCCUUUAAUGUUUGAUGUUCUAACGUGGACCCGUAAUCCGGGUUGCGGACAGUGUCUGGUGGGUAGUUUGACUGGGGCGGUCUCCUCCUAAAGAGUAACGGAGGAGCACGAAGGUUGGCUAAUCCUGGUCGGACAUCAGGAGGUUAGUGCAAUGGCAUAAGCCAGCUUGACUGCGAGCGUGACGGCGCGAGCAGGUGCGAAAGCAGGUCAUAGUGAUCCGGUGGUUCUGAAUGGAAGGGCCAUCGCUCAACGGAUAAAAGGUACUCCGGGGAUAACAGGCUGAUACCGCCCAAGAGUUCAUAUCGACGGCGGUGUUUGGCACCUCGAUGUCGGCUCAUCACAUCCUGGGGCUGAAGUAGGUCCCAAGGGUAUGGCUGUUCGCCAUUUAAAGUGGUACGCGAGCUGGGUUUAGAACGUCGUGAGACAGUUCGGUCCCUAUCUGCCGUGGGCGCUGGAGAACUGAGGGGGGCUGCUCCUAGUACGAGAGGACCGGAGUGGACGCAUCACUGGUGUUCGGGUUGUCAUGCCAAUGGCACUGCCCGGUAGCUAAAUGCGGAAGAGAUAAGUGCUGAAAGCAUCUAAGCACGAAACUUGCCCCGAGAUGAGUUCUCCCUGAGACUUAGAGUCUCCUGAAGGAACGUUGAAGACGACGACGUUGAUAGGCCGGGUGUGUAAGCGCAGCGAUGCGUUGAGCUAACCGGUACUAAUGAACCGUGAGGCUUAACCUU